UACGAAGGGUGCAAGCGUUACUCGGAAUUACUGGGCGUAAAGCGUGCGUAGGUGGUGAGUUAAGUCUGAUGUGAAAUCCCCGGGCUCAACCUGGGAAUGGCAUUGGAUACUGGCUCGCUAGAGUGCGGUAGAGGGUGGUGGAAUUCCCGGUGUAGCAGUGAAAUGCGUAGAGAUCGGGAGGAACACCGACGGCGCAGGCAGCGCCCUGGGCGAGACCUGACGCUGAGGCACGAAAGCUGGGGGAGCAAACAGG
rnacentral:rRNA from 1 species